UUGAUCUCAAAUCAGGUAGGACUACCCGCUGAACUUAAGCAUAUCAAUAAGCGAAGGAA
rnacentral:rRNA from 1 species